AUGGAAGAACUCAAUAUCAUUUUCACAUCUAUAAAUGAGUUUUAAGGUUGGACUUUGAAAUACAUUUCUUGGAGUAAAAAUGUGUUUCCAAUUCAAUUCAACUCUCAUUCAUUUUCAAGAAUGAUUAUACAAACCAAAUUUAUAAAAGUUUGGUACAUGAAAAAUUCAGCAUUAUGUUUAGAUUUAUACAUAAGUUUUAAAAUUAUUUUAACUCCAAUAAGUCAUC
rnacentral:lncRNA from 1 species